CCUGUUAUUAUUGCGUUAUUAUCAUGUUCUGUUUUAUUAAUACGUUAUUAGCAUCGUCUGGUGUUAUUACUGCCUUAUUAUUGUGUUAUUAGCAUGUUCUUGUUAGGGUUUAAAAUGAGUAGCCACGUUGAACAUCAUAGCCAAAGUGAGUUACAGAGAUUUUUUGUUUGUUUUAACAGGGUAUGGUUGGGGUGCAGCUGGCCUAUGAGUCACUGAUUUGAUUCCUGAGAAGUUCUUCUAAUCAGGAAUCGAUUGUGACAGAGCUCUUUGGGGCCCAGGUAAGCUUGCAGAUGCCAAUGUAAAAUGACAGAUUUUUUCAUUAUAAAAGAUUUUGAUUAUAUAGAAAACAAGACUACAAUAAGUAUAGCAGAUUUCUUUUUGCAACUUUUCUCUUCUGUGCAGCUUCACCACUUCAACUUCUUGGACAUGUUUUAUGAGCUGCCUCUCUUCGGAUACUUUUGACGAAUGACUCAGCUCCUGAGGCAGUAAGUGUCUUAUCAGGAGAUUUAAAAGUGAUACUUGAAUGAAGUUUCAGAACAUGGUCUAUUUUUUCCCAUUUUGUUUUCCCAUAUUUUUAACCCUGAUAUUCCUAAAGUUUGAGGGAGGAUUCUUGGAGAGCCUGUUUGCCAUUAUCAGCAUGUGGGACAUGGACGUGUGGGAGCCUGCAGCAGAGCAGUACUUCACAGCGCUUAUUGAUCAGCUGACAGUGCUUUGUGAAGUACUGUUUUCUCAGCCCCUGGAGCUCUACAGCGACCCAGUAGCCUUAGCCAGUGCAGUUUCGCGGCUCCUCUGGCAGCAUGUCACGCUGAUGAUGGACACGUUGGAGAAACUCUGAGCAGUGUCCUUCUCUCUAAU
ensembl:lncRNA